rnacentral:misc_RNA from 1 species
GAUGAAGAACGCAGCGAAAUGCGAUACGUAAUGUGAAUUGCAGAAUUCAGUGAAUCAUCGACUCUUUGAACGCACAUUGCGCCCCCUGGUAUUCCGGGGGGCAUGCCUGUCCGAGCGUCAUUGCUGCCCUCAAGCACGGCUUGUGUGUUGGGCCUCCGUCCUCCUCCCGGGGGACGGGCCCGAAAGGCAGCGGCGGCACCGCGUCCGGUCCUCGAGCGUAUGGGGCUUCGUCACCCGCUCUUGUAGGCCCGGCCGGCGCUUGCCGACACAUCAAUCUUUUUUCCAGGUUGACCUCGGAUCAGGUAGGGAUACCCGCUGAACUUAAGCAUAUCAAUAAGCGGAGGA